GACGAACGCUGGCGGCGUGCUUAACACAUGCAAGUCGAACGGAAAGGCCCUGCUUCUGUGGGGUGCUCGAGUGGCGAACGGGUGAGUAACACGUGAGUAACCUGCCCUUGACUUUGGGAUAACUUCAGGAAACUGGGGCUAAUACCGGAUAGGAGCUCCUGCUGCAUGGUGGGGGUUGGAAAGUUUCGGCGGUUGGGGAUGGACUCGCGGCUUAUCAGCUUGUUGGUGGGGUAGUGGCUUACCAAGGCUUUGACGGGUAGCCGGCCUGAGAGGGUGACCGGCCACAUUGGGACUGAGAUACGGCCCAGACUCCUACGGGAGGCAGCAGUGGGGAAUAUUGCACAAUGGGCGGAAGCCUGAUGCAGCAACGCCGCGUGCGGGAUGACGGCCUUCGGGUUGUAAACCGCUUUCGCCUGGGACGAAGCGUGAGUGACGGUAAUGGGUAAAGAAGCACCGGCUAACUACGUG
rnacentral:rRNA from 1 species